CCUACGGGAGGCAGCAGUGGGGAAUAUUGCGCAAUGGGCGAAAGCCUGACGCAGCGACGCCGCGUGAGGGAUGACGGCCUUCGGGUUGUAAACCUCUUUCAGUAGGGACGAAGCGAAAGUGACUGUACCUGCAGAAGAAGCACCGGCUAACUACGUGCCAGCAGCCGCGGUAAU
rnacentral:rRNA from 1 species